rnacentral:rRNA from 1 species
UACGAAGGGUGCAAGCGUUAAUCGGAAUUACUGGGCGUAAAGGGUGCGUAGGCGGUUCGUUAAGUCUGUCGUGAAAUCCCCGGGCUCAACCUGGGAAUGGCGAUGGAUACUGGCGAGCUAGAGUGUGUCAGAGGAUGGUGGAAUUCCCGGUGUAGCGGUGAAAUGCGUAGAGAUCGGGAGGAACACCGGUGGCGAAGGCGGCAUCCUGGACCAAUAUGACGCUGAGGAGCGAAAGCGUGGGGAGCGAACAG